rnacentral:rRNA from 1 species
UUUGGAGGGCAAGUCUGGUGCCAGCAGCCGCGGUAAUUCCAGCUCCAAUAGCGUAUAUUAAAGUUGUUGUGGUUAAAAAGCUCGUAGUUGAACCUUGGGCCUGGCUGGCCGGUCCGCCUCACCGCGUGCACUGGUCCGGCCGGGCCUUUCCCUCUGUGGAACCCCAUGCCCUUCACUGGGCGUGGCGGGAAACAGGACCGGAAGUUGUA